GUCCACGCUGUAAACGAUGGGCACUAGGUGUGGGGGGUGUCGACUCCCUCCGUGCCGAAGCUAACGCAUUAAGUGCCCCGCCUGGGGAGUACGGCCGCAAGGCUAAAACUCAAAGGAAUUGACGGGGGCCCGCACAAGCAGCGGAGCACGUGGUUUAAUUCGACGCAACGCGAAGAACCUUACCUGGGCUUGACAUGUGGAUCGUACCCGUGGAAACACGGGGUCAGUUCGGCUGGAUCUUCACAGGUGGUGCAUGGCUGUCGU
rnacentral:rRNA from 1 species